AAUACGCUAUGGUGCUAAGCACCAUACCAUCACAACAGAUGAUGACGAUGCAAUUGUACAUCAAGAAUUGACGCACUAACCACAAAAAAUAAUAUGCCACGGAUCAAGCACAGUAGCAAAGGGGGUCACCAAGAAAAAGAUCUAAAGGAACGCGAUCUGAGGGCGCGGUUUAACCCUCAUUCUGGGCUCUUGGUGAUUUAGAAGACUAAAUCCUUCUUCGCCCUGAACUUCUGUUGCUAUUUCGAAACCAAACCAGCACAAAAACCUAGUAUUAAUGUUGUAUUAGUUCUACUUUGUAAGAUCUUUCUCAUUAGUUUAUAACAUGAUAUUUGAUCUUGAUAUUUGUGAGCUGCUUCAGUAGAACCGUCUAGAAAAUUCAGGCUUCGAAGGAGUAUUUUGCCAGACGAGCUGGCGUAGAUCGACACCAUCUGCCAAAACUCGUUGGCUUAGAGUUUGUUAUUAGUUUUGCCUAAUACUAUUGGCGUUAUGUUCUUCAGUUUUUCUGCCAUGAAUCGAUGGCGUUGAGAUUAUGAUUAUUAUGGUUAAGAUGAGAUUAUGAUUAGCUUUGCAUAUAUUCAGUUAUGUAGUUUAUCACCAGUGCACGGUGAAUUGUGAUCGAGCUUCGCUCGAUAGUUAGUCGAUCAACACUCCUUAUUCGAAUGCCUAGUGGCGUGAUUAAGAAUUUUUCAUGAAUCGCUGUCACGAUUCAUGAAAAAUUCUACCAAAGUAGCAAUGUUAUGUUACAUAUGAAUAUUCUAUGUUUAUUUGAUACGAUACGAGCGCAUUCGCAAACAUUAUUUUCAUUAACCCAUUCCCUCAUGAAAGAUUACUGAGCGUGCAUACACGAAAUAAGUACAAAAAUAAAAGUUGCCAUCAACAAACCGAAAAACACGGAAACAAAACACGGUGCAAAAAUUCGCACCGCAGGAAGAAUGUUUAGCCAGAAAUCUGGCAGGCAUAGAACAGACUCGGAUUUGACAGGCGUCAAACCUAAACCUCAAAGGUUGGCAGCAUUGAACUGUCAUUGCGCUUCCGGAAAACUGCACAGAAAGUGCAAGGAAAAAAAGAAAAAGUGCGCCAUUGGUGUGACGAACGCCGCUCCCCGGAGAAGCAACGAUUUGCGGACAAAUUUGAAGCUACGCUCCGCGGAAAGAGCCAGGAACACCGCUCGAUCCCAGAAUCGGGAGGAGACGAGAACGGCACGCUAAACGAGGAGUCGUCGUGAAUCCACCAAUUGGUCGCCACAAAAUCCGCCAAUCGAUUCCGUGCACGUCGGGCGAAGAGUGGCUAGUUCCGAGCCACAGCAAAGACAGACAGGAAGAGAGCA